rnacentral:misc_RNA from 1 species
UUAAGUUCAGCGGGUAGUCCUACCUGAUUUGAGAUCGAACGUUAAAAAGCUGUCCUUGCUGAGGAGAGACAUCUGUGAGCUCCAGCGAACCUUUGUCACCAAAGGUUACCUGGUGGACAACCGCGAGCGUAGAUAGUUAUCACACCCGUGAUGCCACCAAACACUGGGAGGCUGAUUCAUUUGAGAGGAGCCGACCACAG